UGGGGAAUUUUGGACAAUGGGGGAAACCCUGAUCCAGCCAUCCCGCGUGUGCGAUGAAGGCCUUCGGGUUGUAAAGCACUUUUUGCAGGAAAGAAACGUCAUGGGUUAAUACCCCGUGAAACUGACGGUACCUGCAGAAUAAGCACCGGCUAACUACGUGCCAGCAGCCGCGGUAAUACGUAGGGUGCAAGCGUUAAUCGGAAGUACUGGGCGUAAAGCGUGCGCAGGCGGUUCGGAAAGAAAGAUGUGAAAUCCCAGAGCUCAACUUUGGAACUGCAUUUUUAACUACCGGGCUAGAGUGUGUGAGAGGGAGGUGGAAUUCCGCGUGUAGCAGUGAAAUGCGUAGAUAUGCGGAGGAACACCGAUGGCGAAGGCAGCCUCCUGGGAUAACACUGACGAUCAUGCACGAAAGCGUGGGGAGCAAACAGG
rnacentral:rRNA from 1 species